rnacentral:rRNA from 1 species
GACGGAGGAUGCAAGCGUUAUCCGGAAUUAUUGGGCGUAAAGCGUCCGUAGGCGGUUUCAAAAGUCUGUUGUUAAGGCCCACAGCUCAACUGUGGAUCGGCAAUGGAAACUGUGAGACUAGAGAGUGGUAGGGGUAGAGGGAAUUCCUAGUGUAGCGGUGAAAUGCGUAGAUAUUAGGAAGAACACCAAUGGCGAAGGCAGCCCCCUGGGAUAACACUGACGCUCAUGUACGAAAGCGUGGGUAGCAAACAGG